rnacentral:rRNA from 1 species
UACGUAGGGUGCAAGCGUUGUCCGGAAUUAUUGGGCGUAAAGAGCUCGUAGGCGGUCUGUCGCGUCUGCUGUGAAAACUCGGGGCUUAACCCCGGGCCUGCAGUGGGUACGGGGCAGACUAGAGUCCGGUAGGGGAGCGUGGAAUUCCUGGUGUAGCGGUGAAAUGCGCAGAUAUCAGGAGGAACACCAGCGGCGAAGGCGGCGCUCUGGGCCGGAACUGACGCUGAGGAGCGAAAGCGUGGGUAGCAAACAGG